AUUGAACGCUGGCGGCAGGCCUAACACAUGCAAGUCGAGCGAGCGGCGGACGGGUGAGUAAUGUAUGGGGACUGCCCGAUAGAGGGGGAUAACUACUGGAAACGGUGGCUAAUACCGCAUACUAUCGGAUAACCCAUAUGGGAUUAGCUAGUAGGUGGGGUAAAGGCUCACCUAGGCGACGAUCGCUAGCUGGUCUGAGAGGAUGAUCAGCCACCGGUGUACUGGGACACGCCCCCGACUCCUACGGAGGCAGCGUUCGGGAAUAUUGCACAAUGGGCGCAAGCCUGAUGCGGCCAUGCCGCGUGUAUGAGGAAGGCCUUAGGGUUGUAGAGUACUUUCAGCGGGGAGGCGGUACCCGACGAAGAAGCACCGGCUAACUCCGUGCCAGCAGCCGCGGUAAUAC
rnacentral:rRNA from 1 species